rnacentral:rRNA from 1 species
GACGAACGCUGGCGGCGUGCUUAACACAUGCAAGUCGAACGAUGAAGAAGAGAAACGCGAACUUCGGUUCAAAUUUCACUUCGGAUUAGUGGCAGACGGGUGAGUAACGCGUGAGCAACCUACCUCUUACAAAGGGAUAGCCUCGGGAAACCGUGAUUAAUACCAUAUGACACAUUCAUAAGGCAUCUUAAGAAUGUUAAAGCUACGGCGGUAAGAGAUGGGCUCGCGUCCCAUUAGCUAGUUGGUGAGGUAACGGCCCACCAAGGCGACGAUGGGUAACCGGGCUGAGAGGGUGAACGGUCACAGUGGAACUGAGACACGGUCCAAACUCCUACGGGAGGCAGCAGUGGGGAAUAUUGCACAAUGGAGGGAACGCUGAUGCAGCGACGCCGCGUGAGCGAUGAAGGAAUUCGUGUCGUAAAGCUCUGUUCUAUGGGAAGAAAAGGACGGUACCAUAGGAGAAAGCCCCGGCUAAAUACGUG